AAUACAAUGGAAUUCUAUUUUUAAAAUAGUGCAUAAAAGGGUUUUUUUAAGCAACCAGAAUUUGAAAUAUCUAAAAUGUCUGGGAGAAAAGAAAGAUUUUGGUCAGGUGCUAAGAGAUGUGAUUGUUGUUGUUGUUUAAGUUGUGGAAGACUCUAAAGCAAACCUAUCAUGGGGUUUUCUGAGGCUGAGACUGCCAAAGGUCAUCCAGUGGGUUUCAUGGUCUUUCAAAAAGACCCUACAGAAGAAAAUUAAGAUGGAGGGGGAUAAAACCACAAUUAGACAAUUUAAAAAAAAUCAGAGUUACAAAAAAUACUUAUUUUUAUAUAUAAAAAUAACUUUCAGAUUAAUUCCAUAACAACAUAAAGAGACUGGCAAGGGAUGAGAGAAAGAGGGAGGGGGAAAAUAGAUAGCUAUAAUAUAUAGAACUGUAGAAGAGUCUAGGGUGAGAGAGCUCAGUGUGAAUGUUGUAGUUAAUCACCUAAAUUAGCAUUGAAAAACUUAUCUGCUGUCUUCUUCCCACCUCUGGGGCAUCCUUUGUUUAGAGUCGUUAACUUGGUUUUUUCAUGUCUGGAAAUCCUCUGUUUUCAGAGUUUUGCUUUUUAUUUACUGUUCUGAUUUUUGAGUUUUAUAAUACUGGUAGCCAGAUUUUGUUCAUUUUCGGGGUUUUCUCCUUUCUGUUGAAGUUGUCCACAUGCUUGUGAAUUUCAAUGGCUUCUCUAUGUAGUCUGACAUACAACUAUCAUGUCAGACUACACAGAGAAGCCAUUGAAAUCCACAAGCAUGUGGACAACUUCAACAGAAAGGAGGAAACCAUGAAAAUGAACAAAAUCUGGCUACCAGUAUUAAAAAAACUCUAAAAUCAAAACAGUAGAUGGGAACCAACACUCUGAGGGCAGAGGAGCCCCAAGGACGGCUAAUGACUGAACAAAGGAUGCCCCCCAGGCAAGAGACAAACUUUUCCAAUGCUAAUUAGGGUGAUUAACUGAAACAUUAAUGCUGACUUCCCACUGACAAAGGACUCUUGCCACACCCUGGACUCUACACAGAUAUAUAUUCUUUCCUUUCCUUACUUAGUUUAUCUAUACCUCACAACCUCUGAGGAUGCCUGCCAUAGAUGUGGGCGAAACAUCAGGAGAGAAUACUUCUAGAACAUGGCCACACAGCCUGAAAGACAUACAACAACCCAGAAUAUAGAAGCUUAUCCAUAGAAUAUUAGUUGUAGGCUAGCCCUAAUAUUGGACAGUGUAAUGAAACCCUCAAGCAGCAGAUAAGGAGGUAAGAAUGUGGACAUAAAUCCUUAAUUAUCCUGUUCGUACUCACAAGAAUGAAAAACUUUUUUUCUUCUUACUGAGUUGGAGUGAUGAGAUUUUCCCCUCAUUUCUGAGCAAAGUGGUCACAUUUUCAAGGGUAUAUUUUUGGAGCAACAUCCACUUU
rnacentral:lncRNA from 1 species